rnacentral:RNase_P_RNA from 1 species
CCCACGCAAGUGGGAUCAGGUAAGGGUGAAAGGGUGCGGUAAGAGCGCACCGCGCGGCUGGUAACAGUCCGUGGCACGGUAAACUCCACCCGGAGCAAGGCCAAAUAGGGGUUCAUAAGGUACGGCCCGUACUGAACCCGGGUAGGCUGCUUGAGCCAGUGAGCGAUUGCUGGCCUAGAUGAAUGACUGUCCACGACAGAACCCGGCUUAUCGGUCAGUUUCACUU